CAGGAUGAACGCUGGCGGCGUGCUUAACACAUGCAAGUCGAACGAAGCACUGGAAGCGGAUUUUUCGGAAUGAAGCAUCCUUGACUUAGUGGCGGACGGGUGAGUAACGCGUGGGCAACCUGCCUUCGACCGGGGGACAACAGUUGGAAACGACUGCUAAUACCGCAUAAGCGCACGGUACCGCAUGGUACAGUGUGAAAAACUCCGGUGGUUGAAGAUGGGCCCGCGUUGGAUUAGGUAGUUGGUGAGGUAACGGCCCACCAAGCCGACGAUCCAUAGCCGACCUGAGAGGGUGACCGGCCACAUUGGGACUGAGACACGGCCCAAACUCCUACGGGAGGCAGCAGUGGGGAAUAUUGCACAAUGGGGGAAACCCUGAUGCCAGCGACGCCGCGUGAGUGAAGAAGUAUUUCGGUAUGUAAAGCUCUAUCAGCAGGGAAGAAAAUGACGGUACCUGCAUAAGAAGCCCCGGCUAACUACGUGCCAGCCGCCGC
rnacentral:rRNA from 1 species